rnacentral:rRNA from 1 species
UACGUAGGGCGCAAGCGUUAUCCGGAAUUAUUGGGCGUAAAGAGCUCGUAGGCGGUUUGUCGCGUCUGUCGUGAAAGUCCGAGGCUUAACUUCGGAUUGGCGGUGGGUACGGGCAGACUAGAGUGCAGUAGGGGAGACUGGAAUUCCUGGUGUAGCGGUGAAAUGCGCAGAUAUCAGGAAGAACACCGAUGGCGAAGGCAGGUCUCUGGGCUGUAACUGACGCUGAGGAGCGAAAGCAUGGGGAGCGAACAGG